AUGCACGCUGGCGGCGUGCCUAAUACCUGCCAGUCGAGCGAACAGACGAGGAGCUUGCUCCUCUGACGUUAGCGGCGGACGGGUGAGUAACACGUGGAUAACCUACCUAUAAGACUGGGAUAACUUCGGGAAACCGGAGCUAAUACCGGAUAACAUGUUGAACCGCUUGGUUCAACAGUGAAAGACGGUCUUGCUGUCACUUAUAGAUGGAUCCGCGCCGCAUUAGCUAGUUGGUAAGGUAACGGCUUACCAAGGCAACGAUGCGUAGCCGACCUGAGAGGGUGAUCGGCCACACUGGAACUGAGACACGGUCCAGACUCCUACGGGAGGCAGCAGUAGGGAAUCUUCCGCAAUGGGCGAAAGCCUGACGGAGCAACGCCGCGUGAGUGAAGAAGGUCUUCGGAUCGUAAAACUCUGUUAUUAGGGAAGAACAAAUGUGUAAGUAACUAUGCACGUCUUGACGGUACCUAAUCAGAAAGCCACGGCUAACUACGUG
rnacentral:rRNA from 1 species